CACAUGCAAGUCGAGGGGCAGCAUGAACUUAGCUUGCUAAGUUUGAUGGCGACCGGCGCACGGGUGAGUAACACGUAUCCAACCUGCCGAUGACUCGGGGAUAGCCUUUCGAAAGAAAGAUUAAUACCCGAUGGCAUAGUUCUUCCGCAUGGUGGAACUAUUAAAGAAUUUCGGUCAUCGAUGGGGAUGCGUUCCAUUAGGUUGUUGGCGGGGUAACGGCCCACCAAGCCUUCGAUGGAUAGGGGUUCUGAGAGGAAGGUCCCCCACAUUGGAACUGAGACACGGUCCAAACUCCUACGGGAGGCAGCAGUGAGGAAUAUUGGUCAAUGGACGAGAGUCUGAACCAGCCAAGUAGCGUGAAGGAUGACUGCCCUAUGGGUUGUAAACUUCUUUUAUACGGGAAUAAAGUGAGGCACGUGUGCCUUUUUGUAUGUACCGUAUGAAUAAGGAUCGGCUAACUCCGUGCCAGCAGCCGCGGUAAUACGGAGGAUCCGAGCGUUAUCCGGAUUUAUUGGGUUUAAAGGGAGCGUAGGCGGACGCUUAAGUCAGUUGUGAAAGUUUGCGGCUCAACCGUAAAAUUGCAGUUGAUACUGGGUGUCUUGAGUACAGUAGAGGCAGGCGGAAUUCGUGGUGUAGCGGUGAAAUGCUUAGAUAUCACGAAGAACUCCGAUUGCGAAGGCAGCCUGCUGGACUGUAACUGACGCUGAUGCUCGAAAGUGUGGGUAUCAAACAGGAUUAGAUACCCUGGUAGUCCACACAGUAAACGAUGAAUACUCGCUGUUUGCGAUAUACAGUAAGCGGCCAAGCGAAAGCGUUAAGUAUUCCACCUGG
rnacentral:rRNA from 1 species